rnacentral:rRNA from 1 species
UAGGGAAUCUUCCGCAAUGGGCGAAAGCUUGACGGAGCAACGCCGCGUGUGUGAUGAAGGUCUUCUGAUCGUAAAACUCUGUUAUUAGGGAAGAACAAAUGUGUAAGUAACUAUGCACGUCUUGACGGUACCUAAUCAGAAAGCCACGGCUAACUACGUGCCAGCAGCCGCGGUAAUACGUAGGUGGCAAGCGUUAUCCGGAAUUAUUGGGCGUAAAGCGCGCGUAGGCGGUUUUUUAAGUCUGAUGUGAAAGCCCACGGCUCAACCGUAGAGGGUCAUUGGAAACUGGAAAACUUGAGUGCAGAAGAGGAAAGUGGAAUUCCAUGUGUAGCGGUGAAAUGCGCAGAGAUAUGGAGGAACACCAGUGGCGAAGGCGACUUUCUGGUCGGUAACUGACGCUGAUGUGCGAAAGCGGGGGGAUCAAACAGG